rnacentral:ncRNA from 1 species
UUAAAAACGUUGAAGAAGGAGAGUAUCCAAGUUUAUAUUACUUACAGAGAGUGAGGGUGUUGAGAACUCAUAGAAUAAUUUGGAGAAAAUCACCUUGGAGUUUGGAAGUUGAAAGAUGUUUUAUUAUUUUGAGUAAGCUUUCACGUAAUUCUGCGUUAAAGAAAAGAAUAUAAUAGUAAAAAGUAUUACCAUAGGUGGUAUAACGAAUAAAACUUCGUCCUAUUU